ACCUCUUCCACUGAAACUUCCCCUCAGUGAAAAUUCCACCAUACCCUAGCCUUCAAAACUAUCUCCACCGAAACUCCAUGAAAAAUGCAUCUCCGCCAAAAUCGUUCUCCGCGCCGCCCGCACCUAGCCUCCUCCUCCACUCCUUCGGAAGGAGCUCGAAUGCUGCUCAGGAGAGCAACUCAGGCACAACUUCAAGGAAUUCAUAUCCAUUCAAAGCAAUCGCGAAGAGGAGGGUGGGAAUGGGAUGAAGCUUGAAGCAUAUUGCAAGGAUAAGACACACUAGAUGAGCUCCGCCCAGCUCUGGAGCCCUAAUUCUACCGCCAACAUUACAACAAGGUCAACGAUGAUGGAAAAAGCAUCAUGGAUGAGAGAAAUGAAAAGCCGGAUCGCAUGGAGGAGGAGAUCGAUUGCUCGAAGUCAAAAUGCGACCAUUUUGCGGCCGGAUUCUUUCCGUUUAAGAGCUCAAAGGAGGCAUCGAAGCCCUCAAUGACACCGCGUGAUCUCUCUCUUUUAUCUCUCCCACCGUCAAGGUGUUCCCUUCCCCAUCUCUUCAACGGCCGACGAACACUCCGACAGUGGCUCCGGUGCCAAGCACUCCGACAGAGCCCCACCGGCAUCCGACGACGCACACCUUAGCUUGCAGUUGCAGCAUCCUCCGAGGAAGACGAGGCGGUGCUGGUCGUCAGAACUGCAUCGCUGCUUCGUCCUCGCUCUCCAGCAACUCAGUGGUCCUCAAGUGGCAACUCCAAAGCAUAUCAUAGAACUGAUGAACGUCGAUAAUCUCACCAAGGACGAAGUAAAAAGCCACCUCCAGGUACCUUCCAACCUCUGGAUAAAUCUUAUACAUAAAUCCAAGAUGAGGCAUCAAUGAAUCAAGAUCACAGAAUCAAGGAGUAUAAAUAAUGGUUGUCUAGAUUCAUUUACCUUACCAAGAUGAAGCUUGAGAAUUUCUUGUCGGAACCACAUUCUGUUUGACAUACUUACACUGGAGGGAUUUUCAUCCGACUAGAUAAUUGCUAAGAACCUUUAUGACCUUUCAACUUAGCCCUCUCAAGUCUCAAUAGUCCACACUGCGUUGAGUUCUGAGACUUUCUUAUCUAUUAAGAAUACAAUUAUGUUGAACAUCGACUAUGAAUCCAAAUACUCUACAUAUUGGCUACGUCUGCAAUAUAGAAAUGAUUUCUCGACUGAUAUUAUAAUUUGUUGUUUUACUUGUGCUUCUCUUAGCCUAGGGGGAGGGGUCACCUAACCUUAUGUCUUACCUUUCAAUUAGCUAAUAGGAUGGCAAACUAAGUUCAUUUCAUUGGGGGAUGAUCAAUCUUAUUGAAAUUGGUGCUUUUGGCUUAUCUCUGAUUCCAUUUUAUUGCUGAGAAUGUAUCAGUAGAGGAUCACUUUAUCCUGCAGCUCAAUAUAUUUUUGUAUUUUAUGGUGCAUUCUUUUGCAAGAGACUUUGCACAUGCACCAUGCAAAAAUUGAUGAUCUAGAGGCUUUAUUGAUUUGGUACGAGGCAAAAGAAACUAGUGAUGAAACUGAAGAAACUAUGGUGGAAGCUAAGCAAAGCUUGAUUAGGAAUUGGCACUUGAUUUCUAUUAUCACUGUUUAUUGUGUCUUUGCUUUUCAAGACAUGGCAUACUCUGAGGUAGCAUAUUUUUCAUGAAUAUGUAUUUAUCUAUUCUUUUUAAAGGUUAUCAUUCUUGUGAUGCACGGAACACAUUGUUCUAUUAAUAAAAGUAUGAAGCAUACACAUGUAAUGUUUAAUCUGGUUAGAGAAAGAAAACAUACUAAGAACACAAAGCAUGUUAUGUGGAAUAUAUGGCAAACUUUGACAAAUAUGUAAAAUAAUGUUACCCUAAAUCAUGGAACACAAUAAAUAGAAAUUGUUUUAGAGUAAAAAACAAUUAGUUCACGUGUCAUUUUCUUUUAGAAAAAAAUACUUACUCUUCAAAAUAUAAUUCUUCCUAAUAUUAAUUGUGAUGUACGAUAAAUAAGGAGUUAGCAUGAGGAAGUUAUCAUUUUUGUUUCUCAAACUAUAGUAUGAUGCAAAUACUAAAACAUUUCAGAUUUUCUCUUUAUGGGUUGUGAGCAGCAACAGAUCUAGUGGUUUGAACUUUUCAUCUAAAGACAUUAGUGAAGUGCUUGCAAUCUUAGGUAAAUAUGUCUAUGCAUCUAGAACUCUAGAAGGCAUUGUAACAUGGUCAUAAUUGAUCAUUAAAUUGAACUGCAUGUGCAGUUAACUGUAAUGUUCCGCAUUAGCUGGAAUAGUUGCAUCAUAUUUUGUCAAUAACCUAAAUAUGCUAAUUUGUUAUUUCAAUUUAGAACUUGCAUGCCACUUGCUAAAAGUGAGAGUGGUCCAUGUAAUUAUGUUUCUCAAAACAACUAUUGGGUGAUAGACAGAUUUAUUCAAAGUUAGUGGUGACUAGUUAAAAUAAGAAUGCCUUCUUCCCAUGUAUAUUCAACACAAACAAUUAGUGUGAGUUAAGAUAUCACUCCUUUGAGUAAUUAGAAUCAUCCAAUUGAUGCUCAUUUGGUAAACAUGGUGAUAGGUAGAAUAAGACUGUUCAAUACUCCUUAGUCGUCAAUAGGUAGUAAUCUUUUGUAUUACCUGCUAUGUAAUACUAGCAUGAGUUAUGAAACCCCACCAUAUUUUCUUAGGGUAUCUAUUGUUAGAUUAUUGUCUUUGUUAAAUUUGUUCAUUGAGUUUAGUGUAUUAAUUAUGUGUGAUGUUUCAUCUCAAUUAUAAUAUAAUAAUUUUCUUCCUCACAGUGAAUAUGGAAAGAAAUUGAAAGUGAGUUUUUUUUUUUACAAGAAGGAUACUCAUAUAUUCCGAGAAGAUUCAAUAUUACCAGAAAGAUUCAAUCAAAGAAUGAUUUUUGCUUUUGUAUAGACUUAACAUAGAUCCAAAGUUUGUGGAUUAUGUUCACAUAUUUUUCAGUCUGAAUUGUAUGACACAUUUUUGGUUUGACCAGUUGUACU